rnacentral:rRNA from 1 species
GUCUAUGGCCAUACCACCCUGAACGCGCCCAAUCUCGUCUGAUCUCAGAAACCAAGCAGGGUUGGGCCUGGUUAGUACUUGGAUGGGAGAAUGGCUAAAAGUAAAGGACU